rnacentral:rRNA from 1 species
AUGGGCCCCCGCGCACAUAUAGUAGAUUUCCGUGGUAAGUUCGUGACGCUGACGCCGUGGCCGUCAUCUUGUUGGGUCCGUGGCUCUGUGCCGUUGCUGUCGAAAGGGACGGCCAUUGCACCGAUCGGGUUAGGUGGCCCGGCCGGGACGUACGAACUCGCGCACGCGUGCCGCAGAUGCGCCCAGAAAGAGGGCCCAAACCAACGGCCGCUUGGACGCCUUUCCUCUUGGCAUCCUCUUUCCGGGAGAAUCUGGUACGGUAUUAUUGCGACCCGACUAUACGUUGCCUCUAGCUUCAUGUGUAGAUCGACGAUGGCCUCAAAAUAA